CGUGAGGAACCUGCCUUUCAGAGGGGGACAACAGUUGGAAACGACUGCUAAUACCGCAUGAUACAUUGGAGUCGCAUGGCUCUGAUGUCAAAGAUUUAUCGCUGAAAGAUGGCCUCGCGUCUGAUUAGCUAGUUGGUGAGGUAACGGCCCACCAAGGCGACGAUCAGUAGCCGGACUGAGAGGUUGACCGGCCACAUUGGGACUGAGAUACGGCCCAG
rnacentral:rRNA from 1 species